AUUGAACGCUGGCGGCAGGCCUAACACAUGCAAGUCGAACGGUAACAGGAAGCAGCUUGCUGCUUUGCUGACGAGUGGCGGACGGGUGAGUAAUGUCUGGGAAACUGCCUGAUGGAGGGGGAUAACUACUGGAAACGGUAGCUAAUACCGCAUAAUGUCGCAAGACCAAAGAGGGGGACCUUCGGGCCUCUUGCCAUCGGAUGUGCCCAGAUGGGAUUAGCUAGUAGGUGGGGUAAGGGCUCACCUAGGCGACGAUCCCUAGCUGGUCUGAGAGGAUGACCAGCCACACUGGAACUGAGACACGGUCCAGACUCCUACGGGAGGCAGCAGUGGGGAAUAUUGCACAAUGGGCGCAAGCCUGAUGCAGCCAUGCCGCGUGUAUGAAGAAGGCCUUCGGGUUGUAAAGUACUUUCAGCGGGGAGGAAGGUAGUAAAGUUAAUACCUUUGCUCAUUGACGUUACCCGCAGAAGAAGCACCGGCUAACUCCGUG
rnacentral:rRNA from 1 species